CCUACGGGCGGCAGCAGUCGAGAAUCAUUCACAAUGGGGGAAACCCUGAUGGUGCGACGCCGCGUGGGGGAAUGAAGGUCUUCGGAUUGUAAACCCCUGUCAUGUGGGAGCAAAUUAAAAAGAUAGUACCACAAGAGGAAGAGACGGCUAACUCUGUGCCAGCAGCCGCGGUAAUACAGAGGUCUCAAGCGUUGUUCGGAAUCACUGGGCGGAAAGCGUGCGUAGGCUGUUUCGUAAGUCGUGUGUGAAAGGCGCGGGCUCAACCCGCGGACGGCACAUGAUACUGCGAGACUAGAGUAAUGGAGGGGGAACCGGAAUUCUCGGUGUAGCAGUGAAAUGCGUAGAUAUCGAGAGGAACACUCGUGGCGAAGGCGGGUUCCUGGACAUUAACUGACGCUGAGGCACGAAGGCCAGGGGAGCGAAAGGGAUUAGAUACCCGUGUAGUC
rnacentral:rRNA from 1 species